rnacentral:rRNA from 1 species
AAUCUUACCGGGUCCGGACAUACCGAGGAUUGACAGACUGUUAACUGCAACACAAGCUGCUAAGUUUUAAACUUAAUAGCUCUUUCAUGAUUAUAUGAUAGGUGGUGCAUGGCCGUUCUUAGUUCGUGGAGUGAUCUGUCUGCUUAAUUGCGUUUCAAAAUUUAAACCUGAGCGACAAGGUGCUGCUAUCGAAACUGUCUUUGAGUGUGAACUAUAAGUCUUUUGACUUAUGACCAUCACUCUAGACGUUUAUGUUUUGGUGUUGGCCCUUGAUGCUCAUUUGAACGCAACGGACGUGAUUGCAACCCCUUGUUGAGAUUUAUCCGAUCUCUACGUUCACUGAACCACACUCUUUAGCGAGAGCAGUGGGGAUGUGGAUAAACUCGGGGGACUGCUGACUAUAAACUUUUCUCAAACCAGAGGAAGGUUGCGGCAAUAACAGGUCUGUGAUGCCCUCAGAUG